GCAAUGGACGAAAGUCUGACCGAGCAACGCCGCGUGAGUGAAGAAGGUUUUCGGAUCGUAAAGCUCUGUUGUAAGUCAAGAACGUGUGUGAGAGUGGAAAGUUCACACAGUGACGGUAGCUUACCAGAAAGGGACGGCUAACUACGUGCCAGCAGCCGCGGUAAUACGUAGGUCCCGAGCGUUGUCCGGAUUUAUUGGGCGUAAAGGGAGCGCAGGCGGUCAGGAAAGUCUGGAGUAAAAGGCUAUGGCUCAACCAUAGUGUGCUCUGGAAACUGUCUGACUUGAGUGCAGAAGGGGAGAGUGGAAUUCCAUGUGUAGCGGUGAAAUGCGUAGAUAUAUGGAGGAACACCAGUGGCGAAAGCGGCUCUCUGGUCUGUCACUGACGCUGAGGCUCGAAAGCGUGGGUAGCGAACAGGAUUAGAUACCCUGGUAGUCCACGCCGUAAACGAUGAGUGCUAGGUGUUAGGCCCUUUCCGGGGCUUAGUGCCGGAGCUAACGCCAUAAGCACUCCGCCUGGGGAGUACGACCGCAAGGUUGAAACUCAAAGGAAUUGACGGGGGCCCGCACAAGCGGUGGAGCAUGUGGUUUAAUUCGAAGCAACGCGAAGAACCUUACCAGGUCUGACAU
rnacentral:rRNA from 1 species